UAAUACUGGAUAGGCAAUUAUUCCUGUAAUGGUUUUUUGUUUAAAUGUUUUUUCGCCUAAGGAUGGGUCUGCGGCCGAUUAGGUAGUUGGUUAGGUAAUGGCUUACCAAGCCUUUGAUCGGUACGGGUUGUGAGAGCAAGAGCCCGGAGAUGGAACCUGAGACAAGGUUCCAGGCCCUACGGGGUGCAGCAGGCGCGAAACCUCCGCAAUGUGAGAAAUCGCGACGGGGGGAUCCCAAGUGCCAUUCUUAACGGGAUGGCUUUUCUUUAGUGUAAAAAGCUUUUGGAAUAAGAGCUGGGCAAGACCGGUGCCAGCCGCCGCGGUAACACCGGCAGCUCUAGUGGUAGCAAUUUUUAUUGGGCCUAAAGCGUCCGUAGCCGGUUUAAUAAGUCUCUGGUGAAAUCCUGUAGCUUAACUGUGGGAAUUGCUGGAGAUACUAUUAGACUUGAGACCGGGAGAGGUUAGAGGUACUCCCAGGGUAGAGGUGAAAUUCUGUAAUCCUGGGAGGACCGCCUGUUGCGAAGGCGUCUAACUGGAACGGUUCUGACGGUGAGGGACGAAAGUUAGGGGCGCGAACCGGAUUAGAUACCAGGGUAGUCCUAACUGUAAACGAUGCGGACUUGGUGU
rnacentral:rRNA from 1 species